rnacentral:rRNA from 1 species
UUGCUCUUCAACGAGGAAUUCCUAGUAAGCGCAAGUCAUCAGCUUGCGCUGAUUACGUCCCUGCCCUUUGUACACACCGCCCGUCGCUACUACCGAUUGAAUGGCUCAGUGAGGCUUUCGGACUGGCCUAGGGAGAGUGGCAACACUCACCCAGGGCCGGAAAGUUGUCCAAACUUGGUCAUUUAGAGGAAGUAAAAGUCGUAACAAGGUCUCCGUAGGUGAACCUGCGGAGGGAUCAUUACAGAGUUCGCGCCCUUAUGGGUAGAUCUCCCACCCUGUGCUAUCGUCCCUGUGUUGCUUUGGCGGGCCGCUGGGCUCGACCCGGCCGCCGGCUCCGGCUGGCGCGCGCCCGCCAGAGGCUCUACAACUCUUGAUGUUUGUGACGUCCGAGUACUAUACAAUAGUUAAAACUUUCAACAACGGAUCUCUUGGUUCUGGCAUCGAUGAAGAACGCAGCGAAAUGCGAUAAGUAAUGCGAAUUGCAGAAUUCAGUGAGUCAUCGAAUCUUUGAACGCACAUUGCGCCCUGUGGCAUUCCGCAGGGCAUGCCUGUUCGAGCGUCAUUUCAACCCUCAAGCUCUGCUUGGUGUUGGGCCUGGCCCGUUGCGGCCGGUCCUAAAAUCAGUGGCGGUGCCGCCUGGCUCUAAGCGUAGUAAUGCUCUCGCUCUAGGGUCCGGUGGUCGCUGGCCAGAACCCCAACUUCUAUGGUUGACCUCGGAUCAGGUAGGGAUACCCGCUGAACUUAAGCAUAUCAAUAAGCGGAGGA